rnacentral:rRNA from 1 species
AACGCGAAGAACCUUACCUGGGCUCGAAAUGCAGUGGAAGACGGCAGAGAUGACGUCGUCCGUAAGGACUGCUGCAUAGGUGCUGCAUGGCUGUCGUCAGCUCGUGCCGUGAGGUGUUGGGUUAAGUCCCGCAACGAGCGCAACCCUUAUCAUUAGUUGCCAACACGAAAGGUGGGUACUCUAGUGAGACUGCCUGGGUUAACCAGGAGGAAGGCGAGGAUGACGUCAAGUCCGCAUGGCCUUUAUGUCCAGGGCUACACACGUGCUACAAUGGUCGGUACAGAGGGCUGCAAAUUCGUAAGAUAGAGCAAAUCCCAUAAAGCCGAUCUCAGUUCAGAUUGUGGUCUGCAACUCGACCACAUGAAGCUGGAAUUGCUAGUAAUGGCGUGUCAGCAACAACGCCGUGAAUACGUUCCCGGGCCUUGUACACACCGGUACUA